rnacentral:rRNA from 1 species
CCUUCGGGGUAAAAACCUUUUUUAGUAGGGAAGAAGCGAAAGUGACGGUACCUGCAGAAAAAGCCCCGGCUAAUUACGUGCCAGCAGCCGCGGUAAUACGUAGGGUGCAAGCGUUGUCCGGAAUUAUUGGGCGUAAAGAGCUCGUAGGCGGUUUGUCGCGUCUGCUGUGAAAUCCCGAGGCUCAACCUCGGGCUUGCAGUGGGUACGGGCAGACUAGAGUGCGGUAGGGGAGAUUGGAAUUCCUGGUGUAGCGGUGGAAUGCGCAGAUAUCAGGAGGAACACCGAUGGCGAAGGCAGAUCUUUGGGCCGUAACUGACGCUGAGGAGCGAAAGCAUGGGGAGCGAACAGGAUUAGAUACCCUGGUAGUCCAUGCCGUAAACGUUGGGCGCUAGAUGUAGGGACCUUUCCACGGUUUCUGUGUCGUAGCUAACGCAUUAAGCGCCCCGCCUGGGGAGUACGGCCGCAAGGCUAAAACUCAAAGGAAUUGACGGGGGCCCGCACAAGCGGCGGAGCAUGCGGAUUAAUUCGAUGCAACGCGAAGAACCUUACCAAGGCUUGACAUACACCGGAAACGGCCAGAGAUGGUCGCCCCCUUGUGGUCGGUGUACAGGUGGUGCAUGGUUGUCGUCAGCUCGUGUCGUGAGAUGUUGGGUUAAGUCCCGCAACGAGCGCAACCCUCGUUCUAUGUUGCCAGCGGGUUAUGCCGGGGACUCAUAGGAGACUGCCGGGGUCAACUCGGAGGAAGGUGGGGAUGACGUCAAAUCAUCAUGCCCCUUAUGUCUUGGGCUUCACGCAUGCUACAAUGGCCGGUACAAAGGGCUGCGAUACCGUAAGGUGGAGCGAAUCCCAAAAAGCCGGUCUCAGUUCGGAUUGAGGUCUGCAACUCGACCUCAUGAAGUCGGAGUCGCUAGUAAUCGCAGAUCAGCAACGCUGCGGUGAAUACGUUCCCGGGCCUUGUACACACCGCCCGUCAAGUCAUGAAAGUCGGUAACACCCGAAG